AGACCCGAAACCCGGUGAUCUAGCCAUGGGCAGGUUGAAGGUUGGGUAACACUAACUGGAGGACCGAACCGACUAAUGUUGAAAAAUUAGCGGAUGACCUGUGGCUGGGGGUGAAAGGCCAAUCAAACCGGGAGAUAGCUGGUUCUCCCCGAAAGCUAUUUAGGUAGCGCCUCGUGAAUUCAUCUCCGGGGGUAGAGCACUGUUUCGGCUAGGGGGCCAUCCCGGCUUACCAACCCGAUGCAAACUGCGAAUACCGGAGAAUGUUAUCACGGGAGACACACGGCGGGUGCUAACGUCCGUCGUGAAGAGGGAAACAACCCAGACCGCCAGCUAAGGUCCCAAAGUCAUGGUUAAGUGGGAAACGAUGUGGGAAGGCCCAGACAGCCAGGAUGUUGGCUUAGAAGCAGCCAUCAUUUAAAGAAAGCGUAAUAGCUCACUGGUCGAGUCGGCCUGCGCGGAAGAUGUAACGGGGCUAAACCAUGCACCGAAGCUGCGGCAGCGAACGUAUCACUUAAAGCGAUUCAGCGGGUUACGAUUGACGGAGCGAAGCGACGUCAAAGCGUAUACAAAGUCGAGUCGGUUUAAGGAUACGUUCGUUGGGUAGGGGAGCGUUCUGUAAGCCUGCGAAGGUGGCCUGUGAGGGUUGCUGGAGGUAUCAGAAGUGCGAAUGCUGACAUAAGUAACGAUAAAGCGGGUGAAAAGCCCGCUCGCCGGAAGACCAAGGGUUCCUGUCCAACGUUAAUCGGGGCAGGGUGAGUCGACCCCUAAGGCGAGGCCGAAAGGCGUAGUCGAUGGGAAACGGGUUAAUAUUCCCGUACUUGGUGUUACUGCGAAGGGGGGACGGAGAAGGCUAUGUUGGCCGGGCGACGGUUGUCCCGGUUUAAGCGUGUAGGUGUGUGUUCCAGGUAAAUCCGGUUCACUUUAACACUGAGGCGUGACGACGAGGCACUACGGUGCUGAAGCAACAAAUGCCCUGCUUCCAGGAAAAGCCUCUAAGCAUCAGGUAACAUCAAAUCGUACCCCAAACCGACACAGGUGGUCAGGUAGAGAAUACCAAGGCGCUUGAGAGAACUCGGGUGAAGGAACUAGGCAAAAUGGUGCCGUAACUUCGGGAGAAGGCACGCUGACACGUAGGUGAAGU
rnacentral:rRNA from 1 species